rnacentral:lncRNA from 1 species
GGAAGCCCAAGCUCUUUGCCAAAACCGCAAGACCUUGCUACGCUUGCGGAAGUCCGAGGCUCUGCGUGUAUAACCAGGUUUCGGAGCCCAAUGGCUUAGUGCUAUUGGACAUACUUGUAGCGUGUGGAACAUUGUUCCAGCCAACGGCGUCCGACAUGGGGCUCGACCCCCCCCCCCUGAAAGACAACCUAGAACAGAACCAGCUUACAUGUCACCCACAACGAGGGUUGAUGACCCAAAUGUCGUUUCAUGAUAAGCUACUUGCUGCACAACGAAUCAGGGGUCACACCCAAGUUGUGUAAGUACGGAGUUGUCGUUUCGGCUGGAGGCCUCCUAUAUAUUAGUAGGUUAUAUAUAUAUUAGUAGGUUAUAUAUAUUAGUAGGUAUACAAAUAUAUACAAAUAUAUUAAUAUACAAAUAUAUUUAUAUUAGUAUAUAUUAAUUAGUAUAUAUUAAUUAGUAUAUAUUAAUUAGUAUAUAUUAAUUAGUAUAUAUUAAUUAGUAUAUAUUAAUUAGUAUAUAUUAAUUAGUAUAUAUUAAUUAGUAUAUAUUAAUUAGUAUAUAUUAGUAGGUAUAUUAGUACUACCAAUGAACAUUAGUAGGGCCUUUGGCACUCACUUAUGUUGGGUGCAAAUAAGUGCGUAGCCCUCCUCACCAAGCAUAGCUUGGGGUUACG